rnacentral:lncRNA from 1 species
UAAAGCAUCUUGUCACCUGGGGGUGCUUCAUCCACACACCUCAAGUUGCAGCCACCACCUGAAGCCGGACUGGUGUCAUCUGGGUCUGAAAACUGUCCUCAUAUGAGGAGGUCAGCUCUGCCUAUGGCCUCCAUACUCACCCCCACCUUCCCCUGACACUCACCACUGGCCUGGUGUCCACUCCUAUUCAUCUGUCCCCCUUCUGCAUCCUCUCUCACAUCCAAUCUGCCCCCUCCAGGCAUGCUCCUGGUGUCACCUGACUGUCCCCUAUGUCUCUGAGCCCCAGUGCUGUACCCGGGAGGCUUCUACCCUCUGUUUUGGAGGAGAGACACCCUAUGGUCCAAGCUCUCUGCCCCAUGGUCACCGGGUUCUUUUCUGAGGACCUCAUCCAAGGGUCUCCCGUUCUUGAGUUCUCCAGGGCAAGCAGUUCCAGCAAUGGCCACGAGGAGGCGGUGUCACCUCUCAGCACCUUCCUUUAAUAAAGGUCCCUAAUGCUGUAGUCCCUUUGUGUAGGCUUAGGCCAGAGCCUGGAUCAGGGGUCCUUGGCCACUGAGAGCUCUGCCUGGGCUCAGGCUGUCCACAGAGGUGUCUGGUUGGUUCUCAUG